AUUGAACGCUGGCGGAAUGCUUUACACAUGCAAGUCGAACGGCAGCACGGACUUCGGUCUGGUGGCGAGUGGCGAACGGGUGAGUAUGUAUCGGAACGUGCCCAGUCGUGGGGGAUAACGUAGUGAAAAUUACGCUAAUACCGCAUACGAUCGAUGGAUGAAAGCGGGGGAUCGCAAGACCUCGCGCGAUCGGAGCGGCCGAUAUCAGAUUAGGUAGUUGGUGGGGUAAAGGCCCACCAAGCCAACGAUCUGUAGCUGGUCUGAGAGGACGACCAGCCACACUGGAACUGAGACACGGUCCAGACUCCUACGGGAGGCAGCAGUGGGGAAUUUUGGACAAUGGGCGAAAGCCUGAUCCAGCCAUUCCGCGUGCAGGAUGAAGGCCCUCGGGUUGUAAACUGCUUUUGUACAGAACGAAAAGGUUUCUACUAAUACUAGGAGCUCAUGACGGUACUGUAAGAAUAAGCACCGGCUAACUACGUGCCAGCCGCCGCAGUAA
rnacentral:rRNA from 1 species